UACGGGGGGGGCAAGCGUUGUUCGGAAUUACUGGGCGUAAAGGGCUCGUAGGCGGCCAACUAAGUCAGACGUGAAAUCCCUCGGCUUAACCGGGGAACUGCGUCUGAUACUGGAUGGCUUGAGUUUGGGAGAGGGAUGCGGAAUUCCAGGUGUAGCGGUGAAAUGCGUAGAUAUCAGGAGGAACACCGGUGGCGAAGGCGGAUCUCUGGGCCAUUACUGACGCUGAGGCGCGAAAGCGUGGGGAGCAAACAGG
rnacentral:rRNA from 1 species